AUCUUCAGAAGAAAGCAAAACAAAACACAAAACUAAGUCAUCUAGUGGAACCUCCAGUUACCUGUCUGUCAGAAGAAGAUGGGGCAUUGGUGAGAAGAAUGUCUCUAGCUACCCUUCCACCUCCACUGGCCACACAGAAGAUGCUGAGAGCUGAGUGGGACCACUUUCUCCCCAUCCCUUCUGGCCAGGAAAUCCAAGAAUUGUGCAUGAUUCUUUCAUCAGAUUUUCUUUCUGUAUCAGGGGAUUUAAGCAACUGAAUCAAUUUACAUUCCUGCCAACUGUGCACAAGACUUCCCUUCUCUCCACAUCCUCACCAACUGUUAUUUCUUGUCUUCUUGAUGAGAGCCUUUCUAACAGACAGAGAUCACAAGUAGGCGGAGAGGCAGAGAGAGAGGAAGAGAAGCUGACUCCUUGCUGAGCAGAGAGCCCGAAGCGGAGCUUGAUCCCAGGACCCCGGGACCAUGACCAGAGCUGAAGGCAGAGGCCCUAACCCACUGAGCCACCCAGGCGCCCCAAAGUCAACCCAAGGGACUCACCAGAUGAUGACUAUCAGAGCACAUGAACAGAUGACUUGUUUCCUAUCCCAGAAUAGGAAAGGAAUCUCCACCCAUCAAACCUGGUACAACUGUUACUGUUUAAAGCUGUUCAGACAACAGCAGAAGCAUGGCUCAUUUGGAUCCUGGGAACGGAAUUCUAAGAACAUGACUAGGCAACUGCCUCAAGCAUCUCUUUACCCUCUUCUGUUGGGCAAAAACAAUAUCUACUAAUAACUCCGUAAUUAUUAACUCCAUAUUAUUUUCCAACAGAAAAGUUAACCAGAAAAGGAUUAUUAUUUAAGAUUUCACUAAUUUGGGAUAAACGCCCUUUUUCU